rnacentral:rRNA from 1 species
GUGGGGAAUUUUGGACAAUGGGGGCAACCCUGAUCCAGCCAUGCCGCGUGCGGGAAGAAGGCCUUCGGGUUGUAAACCGCUUUUGUCAGGGAAGAAAUCCUUUGGGUUAAUACCUCGGAGGGAUGACGGUAACUGAAGAAUAAGCACCGGCUAACUACGUGCCAGCAGCCGCGGUAAUACGUAGGGUGCGAGCGUUAAUCGGAAUUACUGGGCGUAAAGCGUGCGCAGGCGGUUUUGUAAGAUCGAUGUGAAAUCCCCGGGCUCAACCUGGGAUCUGCAUUGGUGACUGCAAGGCUGGAGUGCGGCAGAGGGGGAUGGAAGUCCGCGUGUAGCAGUGAAAUGCGUAGAUAUGCGGAGGAACACCGAUGGCGAAGGCAAUCCCCUUGGCCUGCACUGACGCUCAUGCACGAAAGCGUGGGGAGCAAACAGGAUUAGAAACCCGGGUAGUCC